UACGGGGGGAGCAAGCGUUGUUCGGAUUUACUGGGCGUAAAGGGCGCGUAGGCGGCGCAACAAGUCACUUGUGAAAUCUCCGGGCUUAACCCGGAGCGGCCAAGUGAUACUGCGGGGCUAGAGUGCGGAAGGGGCAACUGGAAUUCUCGGUGUAGCGGUGAAAUGCGUAGAUAUCAGGAAGAACACCGAUAGCGAAGGCAGCUUACGUGGGCUGUAACUGACGCUGAGGCAUGAAAAGUGUGGGGAUCAAACAGG
rnacentral:rRNA from 1 species